GGCUUUAUUAACAGGGCUGUGUCCCUGGCCUGUCCCUGUCCUCACUCAGGGUCCAAGAGGCCAGGCACACUUUAGAAAGACCCUAUUAUCAUUGGAAGGUGUAUGCUUUCUCACAGGUCCCACAACACAGGAACCCGUCUGAAGCUCAGGCUCCCACCCCAAUUUCUGUAUUGUGCUGAAAACCUCAUCGCCCUGAGAGAUGUUCCCUCUUGACCCGGUCCCCUCCCUGAGAAAGCACUUGGAGAACCCCAGGAGGGCUGCUCCAAAGGCCCAGGGGCUUCUGCCUCUGUGAGGACCUAACAAGGCCACAGGCCACAGGAGAGGAGCCUCUCAUGGUGUGACUGACUCCCACGGGCCCAGUCAAAGCGCUGCACCCCCUUCCAGCCCCAGGAGCGCCCGCUGUGACAGCAAAUGAGAGGAGAGAAGUGAGCAGGGAGCCCUCCCGGCUCCAGACUCUGAGCGGUGAUCGGAGUCCCCACAGGAAGCCCCGCGGAGCCCUCCCCACCACUGAGCUUCAGGAUCCAGGGAACCCAGAACAGCAGGACAUCCAUGAGCAGAGAAGCAAUGUGCGGUGGUCUCCUUUAUCUGCGGGGGACAUGUUCCAAGACCCCCAGGGAUGCCUGAAACCAUGGAUAGUACUAAACCUUACAGAUACUAUGUUUUCUCCUAUACAUACCUACCGAUGACAAAGUUUAAUUUGUUAAGUUGGAGUUAAAAUUUUAAUUAUAAACUAGUAAAAGUUAACAGUAAUUAAUAAUAACAUAAUUAUAACAAUAUACUGUAAUAAAAGUUAUGUGAAUGUAGUUUUUCUCUCUCUC
rnacentral:lncRNA from 1 species